ACGAAAGCUUGCCAUUAUGUUCUAGUAGUUGAAGUACAACGAUGGUUUUUCAAGCCAUUAGUCUUGGUUAAAG
rnacentral:tRNA from 1 species